rnacentral:rRNA from 1 species
GACGAACGCUGGCGGCGUGCCUAAUACAUGCAAGUAGAACGCUGAAGGAGGAGCUUGCUUCUCUGGAUGAGUUGCGAACGGGUGAGUAACGCGUAGGUAGCCUGCCUGGUAGCGGGGGAUAACUAUUGGAAACGAUAGCUAAUACCGCAUAAUAGUAGAUGUUGCAUGACAUUUGCUUAAAAGGUGCAAUUGCAUCACUACCAGAUGGACCUGCGUUGUAUUAGCUAGUUGGUGGGGUAACGGCUCACCAAGGCGACGAUACAUAGCCGACCUGAGAGGGUGAUCGGCCACACUGGGACUGAGACACGGCCCAGACUCCUACGGGAGGCAGCAGUAGGGAAUCUUCGGCAAUAGACGGAAGUCUGACCGAGCAACGCCGCGUGAGUGAAGAAGGUUUUCGGAUCGUAAAGCUCUGUUGUAAGAGAAGAACGAGUGUGAGAGUGGAAAGUUCACACUGUGACGGUAUCUUACCAGAAAGGGACGGCUAACUACGUG